rnacentral:rRNA from 1 species
GACGAACGCUGGCGGCGUGCUUAACACAUGCAAGUCGAACGGAGAGGCCCGGCUUUUGUGGGGUGCUCGAGUGGCGAACGGGUGAGUAACACGUGAGUGACCUGCCCUUGACUUUGGGAUAACUUCAGGGAACUCGGGCGAAUAUCGGGUAUGAGCUCCUUCUGCAUGGUGUUGGUUGGUGAGUUUCGCCGUUUCGGGAUGGACUGGCGGCUUAUCAGCGUGUUGGUGGGGUAGUGGCGUACAAAGGCUUUGAGGGGUAGCCGGAUUGCGAGUGUGACAGGCCACAAUGGGACAGAGGUGCGGGCAAGAGGGCUACGGGAGGAAGCAGUGGGGAAUAGUGCAAAAUGGGCGGAAGCAUGAUGCAGGAAUGCCGCGUGGUGGAUCACGGCUUUCGGGUAGUAACCCGCUUUAGACUGUGAAGCAGAGUGAGUGACGGUAAUGAGUAAAGAAGGAACGGCUAACUACGUG